rnacentral:rRNA from 1 species
UACGUAGGGUGCAAGCGUUGUCCGGAAUUAUUGGGCGUAAAGAGCUCGUAGGCGGUUUGUCGCGUCUGCUGUGAAAUCCCGAGGCUCAACCUCGGGCCUGCAGUGGGUACCGGCAGACUAGAGUGCGGUAGGGGAGAUUGGAACUCCUGGUGUAGCGGUGGAAUGCGCAGAUAUCAGGAAGAACACCGAUGGCGAAGGCAGAUCUCUGGGCCGUAACUGACGCUGAGGAGCGAAAGCAUGGGGAGCGAACAGG